UUACUUUCUUCAAUCUUCUUCCAUCUCCAUUUCCAACUAACUUCAUCCUUUCAUCUAAUAUUCUAAUCAGAAAAAUUCAAAUCAAGUGAAUAAUAAUUAUAACAAUAACAAUCUUUUGGGAAGAAUUUCAAUUGGAGGAUUGGAGAAGUGGGUGUGUGUGGUGGUCAAAAUUUCAAGAGAAAAGGGAAGGAAAAGAAUUUGUAAUUUAAAAUCUUGUAAUUGUUCUUUAAAUCCUUAAGGUUGAAAGCAAUAAUGUGUGUUCCUAUGGCCACCAUGGACUUGGUUGUUCGUCAUUAAGGUGGUUCCGAAAGAAGGAACUAAUAAUAUUGUGGGUUGUAGAAGUUGCUAGUGAUCUUGAAGGUAGCUUGCCUUUUUGCGAAAAAAUGGUAUUUAUGGUAGAACCUAGUUUAUCCCACCUCAUUUGGCUCUUGAUGCUAUCUUGGUGUUUUGAAUCUUGUGGUUAUGAAUCUUGUUCAAUUUGGUGAUGGUAGCUAGUCUUGUUAAACUUGGAAGUUAAAUGAAUGUUUUGGGUUAUGUGAUGAAAUGGGUAAUGUGCCCAAUUUAUGUUGAAAUGUACAUGUUAUCAAAUGAAAGCUUUUGAAACGUUUGAUUGCUUGA